rnacentral:rRNA from 1 species
ACGAGUUUGAUCAUGGCUCAGAACGAACGCUGGCGGCAGGCCCAACACAUGCAAGUCGAGCGCCCCAGCGAUGGGGAGCGGCGGACGGGUGAGUAACGCGUGGGAACGUGCCUCUUGCUACGGAAUAGCCUCGGGAAACUGGGAGUAAUACCGUAUGUGCCCUACGGGGGAAAGAUUUAUCGCUGAAGGAGCGGCCCGCGUCUGAUUAGCUAGUUGGUGAGGUAAUGGCUCACCAAGGCUACGAUCGGUAGCAGGUCUGAGAGGAUGAUCUGCCACACUGGGACUGAGACACGGCCCAGACUCCUACGGGAGGCAGCAGUUAGGAAUAUUGGACAAUGGGCGAAAGCCUGAUCCAGCCAUGCCGCGUGUGUGAUGAAGGCCCUAGGGUUGUAAAGCACUUUCGUUGGGGAUGAUAAUGACCGUACCCAAAGAAGAAGCACCGGCUAACUUCGUG